rnacentral:lncRNA from 1 species
GUUCGUUCGCGACAGGGGUGGAGACCCAGGAAGCAGAGAGGCGCGGGAAUUCCACAGCUCCUCUCCAUCCGGUGAAGAGCCCCGGAACGCCCAGCAACGCAGUGUAGGCUUACUGUGCUGACACAGCGAGCGACAGGGACAAUCUUUGCGUCAGGCGUCGAGUAGGGCAUGUGUCGGAAUGAUGCAUAUGUAUGUAUAUAAAUGUGUGUGUAGGUAUGUGACGGAUUCAGAGAGAGAAAUGCCGUCUUUAGGUCUGGAAGAGCAGCGGAUGAAAAGCGGGAGUCCCCCUUAUUGUCUUGCCACUCUGUGUGUAUCCUGUUUCCAUUGGCAGAACACACAAUCCCCCCUCCCGCAUUCGCCUGCGAAGGGGAAAGGCCACGAUGUUUCCUGGCGUCGAUCCACCGGGGGACGGGCUUUAGAAUCUCCUGUCCACUUUUAAAGAACGGAAAGGGGGAAAACACAGGUCGACUGCAGCAGGUGAAACUCGGACAAAACGAAGGAAAAGAGAGAGACAGAACCCUGCGGGCUGUGCCGUCCAACAGAAGCGACAGUGUCCAGAUCGAAACGUGUAGGCCAGCUGUUUCGCCAACAACACAUUCCUUUCCUGGACUCUUUUUUCUCACCGUUUCAGGUCGUCCACGCCGAUGUCCAUGUGCGGCGAAGCCUUUGGCACAUAAAACUCGCGUUGGUACGGAACUUGGUCGCAACAACUUCGAGAGAUCGACGCCCUCUGUCGCAAGACUGGCACACGUUGCAGAACCACCGAACUGCGGGGACGCGAGGUCCACCGCGGUACGGGGAAUCUUCCUGCACGUACCGAAGAUAAUACUACGGCGACGGCGCUCCCGUGUUUGCCACUCUCGCGUGGAGAUUUCUGACACGCCUUUCAAUCGCCCCCCAAAAUAGAUAUCGCGUCCCCGCAGCAGCAAAGGUUGCUGGGGAUUGCGUUGCUGUCCCUUUCUUCAAACAUAGCAGUGUCCCAUGUCUUCCCCCCCCCCCCCACCGUCUUCUUUUUCCCUGUCCGCUUGUACGUAUCUCGUGGCAUGUGUGUUUCUGGCGGCGUGAAGCCAACUUCCUAGGCAGGGUUCAGCUUCCCUACUAAGGGAGGGCGCGGACGUAGGCUUAGUGUGUCUUUUUUCGUGUAGAGAAUUCCCUUUUAGGGCGGCUGGAAAGUCUUGUUCGUGGAUUUUUUCGAUCUACAUAGUGCACCUGCUCACGCUCCUCCUCACUCCUCCCAAACGAAACGUGUUCCUCUAUUCUACGUGUUCACACGCAAGAUCCGCUGCUUGUCGCUC